CCUACGGGAGGCAGCAGUGAGGAAUAUUGGUCAAUGGACGAGAGUCUGAACCAGCCAAGUAGCGUGAAGGAUGACUGCCCUAUGGGUUGUAAACUUCUUUUAUAAAGGAAUAAAACGAGGCACGUGUGCCUUUUUGCAUGUACUUUAUGAAUAAGGAUCGGCUAACUCCGUGCCAGCAGCCGCGGUAAUACGGAGGAUCCGAGCGUUAUCCGGAUUUAUUGGGUUUAAAGGGAGCGUAGAUGGGUUGUUAAGUCAGUUGUGAAAGUUUGCGGCUCAACCGUAAAAUUGCAAUUGAUACUGGCAGUCUUGAGUACAGUUGAGGUAAGCGGAAUUCGUGGUGUAGCGGUGAAAUGCUUAGAUAUCACGAAGAACCACGAUUGCGAAGGCAGCUUACUAAACUGUGACUGACAUUGAUGCUCGAAAGUGUGGGUAGCAAACAGGAUUAGAUACCCUUGUAGUC
rnacentral:rRNA from 1 species